rnacentral:rRNA from 1 species
AUUGAACGCUGGCGGCAUGCCUUACACAUGCAAGUCGAACGGCAGCAUGGGAGCAAUCCUGGUGGCGAGUGGCGAACGGGUGAGUAAUAUAUCGGAACGUGCCCAGUCGUGGGGGAUAACGUAGCGAAAGCUACGCUAAUACCGCAUACGAUCUAUGGAUGAAAGCGGGGGAUCGCAAGACCUCGCGCGAUUGGAGCGGCCGAUAUCAGAUUAGGUAGUUGGUGAGGUAAAGGCUCACCAAGCCGACGAUCUGUAGCUGGUCUGAGAGGACGACCAGCCACACUGGGACUGAGACACGGCCCAGACUCCUACGGGAGGCAGCAGUGGGGAAUUUUGGACAAUGGGCGCAAGCCUGAUCCAGCAAUGCCGCGUGCAGGAUGAAGGCCUUCGGGUUGGUUAAACGUAGUC